ACGUGAAGAGCGAGACAGUGAACAGCACUGAAGAAAGGAUUCUGACUGGUCUGGCGAACCGCACUUCCAGAUAUUCAAAGUGAAGACGCACGCGGCAUACUGAGUUCCGUGAUGAAAAACUUCCGUGGGGAUGCCCAGCAAGCUGAUACCCGAGAUGUGGCUAAACAGAUAUUUCUUCGUAUAAUAGUGAUCUGGAAAAAUGUGUAAAUUAAAAGAAAAUGACCGGGGGGAAUAUAUUGAUCAUGCGAGAUAUUUGGUAUCUCUAACAUAGAAUAGCGUUCCAUAAAGUUCUUUCAAUCCGCUUGUUUAUCAAAAAGAAGCGAGGAGUCACUGACCUAGCGA